rnacentral:lncRNA from 9 species
CGGGCACGAAGCUGGGCGGGCCACUAGAGGGCGCGGCGGGAGGUGCAGAGCGCGGUAGGUACCGCUGGGGCCGCCCAGGCAGCCUGCACUAAGGCAAAGGACCUGGUGCCGCCGAAGCUCAGAGAUUCGCGACGCUGCGGGCGAGCGGGGAGAGGGGCCGCCCCCUACCCAACGGCAGCCUUGCUGCGCCUGCGCAGAGGCGAGGGUCUCACCCAGAGAUGGGUGGCAAGAGUGAGCCGCCUUAGGCUCCCCUCUCCCGGCUCCGUCCCACUCCUCGCCUUCGUGGGCUUCGAGCUUCGGUCUCCGCCUUGGUGGGGACUGGACGACAAAGCAUAGGUGCCCACGGGAGUCCACCAGAAAAGGAAGCACAGUUAACUGGGUCUAGGACAGGGGUCUCUAAAAUCGGUCCUACCUCACCAGGUCACUCCCUGGGCGCAGCUUGGGAGACGUUGGGGAGAAGCCUUGGGCGUCUGGACCUCAGGCCCGGGCUCCGGCCUGAAGUUCCAGCCCAAAGCUACAGCCAACUUGUCUCCGGCAGUCUUCCGUCGAACCUAGUCCUGGGCCGGGGCCCCUAUACCACGUGGCGGAAAACUUGGGGGCCCCAUGUCCACUGAACAAGCGAAGCAGAGUCGACGCUACUCAUCAGAUUUGUUGAGCUGCUUUUGGGCAUUCCAGAUGCGAGCGAGAAGCACGGGCCUCUGCAGCGCGAAGCGCGCCUUUCUUCCGCCUGGCUGCACGUCUGUAGGACGUCCAACACCUAAGUGGCUGCAAGAGACCUGGAUCCCGGAGGUCCGGCCCGCUUAGGUAGGGCAGAGAACGCUUACAGAUGCCCUUCGGGAACGCAGAUCCUCCCUGUCGUCCGGUCCCGCCGGGAUCUAGAGCCAGCGCCAGCGCCAAGUUUAACUUGCAACUGAGGAUGAUCGUUUUCAUCAUGGAGAGCCGGAUUCGCACCCAAGGCUGCAUCUCUCUUCUCCCUUCUUUCCUCCCUCCCUCUCUCUCUGCACGAGAGAAAGGUGAGAGAGGCGGCCCGGGCUUGCGGGGCGACCUCGUGUUCCCUCGGUGGCCUGGAGGAGUAAAUCCUCCACCAAGCGACCAAAAAUAGCAACCGACAGGAGCUAAGACCCAGGUGGCCUGUGCCAUCAGACGUCCCAUCCGGCCAGAGAGAAAAGAGCACUGGCUAAGUUCAGGCCCGGCAGCUUUAGAGCCGCUGGGGUCGCGCGGGGGCGGGGCUGGACCCCCACGUGCGCCGCCUGCCGCUGCUUCGCGGAGCCCUUUGUCGCGUUCGUGCCGCACUCGGCGGCUUAAAAUAAAGACAAUGUUCCCAGCCUCCCUGCGGCUAAAUCCGGCUCGGGUGCGGGGGCGGUGAGAGAGCCGGGCGGGAGAGCUGCUUCUGGCCCUACCUCCCUUCUCCUUUCCUGCCUCAGUUUCCCCAUCUGGUAAAGGGACCCAGCCAAGUCUGAACCGAGAAGAGUCAUAAAAUUGGGGGGGGGGGCCGCCGGGGGCGUCAUCCCCCUGUUUCCGCAGCUGCAGGGACUUAAGGAGCAAACAAACCUUUUGGGACAGAGAGGG